UUUAAAAGUACUUUUUCCUCCACAAACAACAGCCCAGCCUACCCCGGCAGCUAGUAGGUAGGCACCGCCCUCAAGAUGUGAAGGCCGAGCACCGCGAACCAAUCACCACGCAGAGCCGUUGAAAGAGAGAGUCGCGUCAACGGAAGCUCAAACGCUGCAACAAAAGGAUCCCUUCGAUGAAUCAUUCAGUGCUGACCGGCCCAGCCCAUUGGAAACAACUAUGGAAAGUAGAACUAGAAGUCAAACGCAUUUGACCUUCCAGAAGCGUGAGAGCCAGGAAGGACAUUUAGAUAGUAUUCCUGGACAUUUCCCCACUGCAAGGACUAAUGUCGGAUAAUCUUAUAUAAUCGUAUCUCGGGAGACCGAGGUAGACUGCAUGAGUCUACCUCGGUCUCCCCUCCUCUUCUCAACUCUUUAUUUUUCUAUCCCACUGUCCAUCUUUUAAUCUUUUUACUCUUUUUACUGGCUAUACUAGCCCAUUGCACAGACUGUACUAUUUAUAUCACUUUGCACACUGUAAAAUCUGUAUAAUAUCUGUAUACACCCUACUCCCUGUGAACAUGUUCUCCCUAUGUGUAUUGUUUUUUUAUACUGUGAUUCUACUGUGAUUUGUGUAUGUAUGUUUGUGAGUUAAGUUAAGUGUAUAAGCUACUGGAUGACCUAAAUUUCCCUCGGGAUUAAUAAAGUAUCCAUCUAUCUAUCUUAUUUAGCAAUAGAACAAGUGUUUACAUGCUUCUUCUUUUUUUCCUCUAGUGAGUCAAUAUUUUUAAUUUGUGCAAUCCUUUGGUUUAUGACGAAUUUACCGUCAACCCUUUCAAAGUGUAAUUUCAGUUCAUGAAGGUUAAUGGUUAAUGGUAACAUUUUAGUACCUUGUACCCAGUUGCAAAACACCAAAAUGACAAACUCAAAGUAAAAUGUCAGCGUGCUAACAAGAUAAGCUGAGACGGAGAACAAGGAAAACAUUAUCCCAACUUAGCAUCAACAUGUACACAUCAUACUUGUUUACAUAAGCGUCCAAGUGCAGCUAAAUAGAGCCUAUAGCUAGCAUGGUUGUAAAUUGGGCCACCGAAGGGAACUGAGAUGACGCGACUCUUAUUAUACCGCUCUGAACAUGGCGACGCGCAUGUCUCCUCAACUUUGACGCCCUGUGUCUUCCUGCAGAUUGAGCAACAUCUCUGUUCAAGCAACAUGAACAAUAUUUUUGAGCAUGCCAAGCCGACUGUUUCACAAUGUUUCUUAAAGGUAAAGGUCACCUGAAUCAGUCACAUCACAAUCACGUUAUGCAAUCAUAAUCAUAAUCCUGUUCUGCUCGUUACUUGACCUUAAUGAACCUUUAAUACCUUUUAAUAUCAUGGACUUACUUUCCAACUGUUUACACCUGUGAAGAUAUAUAUAUAUAUAUCUCGUUAUAAUGCAUUCCUGUUUAUAUUAUCAUUAUUUAUUUUUAAUAAAUUUGGUAUAUUAUAUUUCA